rnacentral:tRNA from 2 species
GGAGGGGUUCCCGAGUGGCCAAAGGGAUCAGACUGUAAAUCUGACGGUUCUACCUUCGGUGGUUCGAAUCCACCUCCCUCCACCA